rnacentral:rRNA from 1 species
AGUGAACGCUGGCGGCAGGCCUAACACAUGCAAGUCGAGCGGCAGCGGGUCCUUCGGGAUGCCGGCGAGCGGCGGACGGGUGAGGAAUACAUCGGAAUCUGCCCUGUCGUGGGGGAUAACCUAGGGAAACUUAGGCUAAUACCGCAUACGACCUACGGGUGAAAGCGGGGGAUCGCAAGACCUCGCGCGACAGGAUGAGCCGAUGUCCGAUUAGCUAGUUGGCGGGGUAAAGGCCCACCAAGGCGACGAUCGGUAGCUGGUCUGAGAGGAUGAUCAGCCACACUGGGACUGAGACACGGCCCAGACUCCUACGGGAGGCAGCAGUGGGGAAUAUUGGACAAUGGGCGCAAGCCUGAUCCAGCCAUGCCGCGUGGGUGAAGAAGGCCUUCGGGUUGUAAAGCCCUUUUGGCCGGGAAGAAAUCGUCUGGGCUAAUACCCCGGGCGGAUGACGGUACCGGAAGAAUAAGCACCGGCUAACUUCGUG